GGGCCUAUAGCUCAGCUGGUUAGAGCACCUGACUCAUAAUCAGGGGGUCCAUGGUUCAAGCCCAUGUGGGCCCACCC
rnacentral:tRNA from 5 species